CCGACUCAUGAAACGAGGAGCUGGCAGACCUUGGGUUCGUCCUGGCUCCGACAUUACAGCGUUCUGUCACCAAGCUGCCUUGAGAAACCAGAAAGGAGGGGGGAGAGCGGGAGUUCCAUCCCUCACUAUGACGUGUGCUGACCACCAGAGGGCAGCACGGACCAUGGCAGUUCUGUCAGCAGCGUUUUGGGCUGUUUCCAAGUCUGUGCAAUUGUGAGCAGCACUACUGUACAUACCAUUAUUCAUGUCUCUUGGCUUUACUGGGUUUUGUUCCAAGAAAUGGAUUUGCCGAGAGGUAGACGGUGUGAAUGCUCAACUUUCAAAAUAGCGCUGCACUCUGCUCCUAGACGGCUGAGCCACACACGUCUGCCAUGGAACCCGUCUAUGGAGUUGUUCAUUUUCAGCGACCAUGUUUCUCACUUGUAAAAGCAUGAUGCAGUUCUUUAUCGGAUUUGCUUUUACAUUUCCAAACCAUCUUCACGGUCUUUGUAGCUUUUAUUUCUUCGCUUACCUUUCUAAUCCGA